CGGUGACUGCGUACCUUUUGUAUAAUGGGUCAGCGACUUAUAUUCUGUAGCAAGGUUAACCGUAUAGGGGAGCCGCAGGGAAACCGAGUCUUAACUGGGCGUUAAGUUGCAGGGUAUAGACCCGAAACCCGGUGAUCUAGCCAUGGGCAGGUUGAAGGUUGGGUAACACUAACUGGAGGACCGAACCGACUAAUGUUGAAAAAUUAGCGGAUGACUUGUGGCUGGGGGUGAAAGGCCAAUCAAACCGGGAGAUAGCUGGUUCUCCCCGAAAGCUAUUUAGGUAGCGCCUCGUGAACUCAUCUUCGGGGGUAGAGCACUGUUUCGGCUAGGGGGUCAUCCCGACUUACCAACCCGAUGCAAACUACGAAUACCGAAGAAUGUUAUCACGGGAGACACACGGCGGGUGCUAACGUCCGUCGUGAAAAGGGAAACAACCCAGACCCACAGCUAAGGUCCCAAAUUCACUGCUAAGUGGAAAACCAUGUGGAAAGGCACAGACAGCCAGG
rnacentral:rRNA from 1 species